rnacentral:lncRNA from 1 species
AAUGAUACCGAGUGCAAUUGUGCUUACCCAGAACGCGUAGGGAAUUCAGUAAUCCCAAGUGUGUGUUCUCAGUGGAUUGCUUAGAUUCUGCUUCAGAACAAGACAUUCCCACCUCUGGGGCAUUGAACCACAUCAUCCUGGCUGCAUUGAAAAAAAAAAAUCAACAACUUUCAGCAACUUCCAAGCUUCUGUUUCACUGUGUUUUGGUGAUCUUGCAAGCUAGCAGUUAAACUUGGCCAUCUUCUACCCACUCCAAGUAUUUGAGAGAGAUCAUUCGAAACGACCUCCAUCCUCGGAAUGGUUGUGCUGCUAUCAGAUGGCCUUCAAGUGCCCGGGAAAGGGCACCGUUUUACAUAUUGUCUCAUCGGAGCAGAGGGAGUAAAGAAUAAGCUAUGUGAGUUCUUUUCUGGGCUCCUCAUUUUAUGAUUUCAUAGGUAAUAAAGCUCUGAUUUUUCUUGUGUUCAGUUG